ensembl:lncRNA
GCGCAGGAGCGAGAGAGGGAGCCUCGGCCUCCCGCCUCUUAAGUGGUCUGCGGUCUGGAAGCGUUUUCCUGACGAGAGGAGCUGGAGAGGCUCCACUCUGCCAUCACCACCGCCGCGUCAGCUCGGUAACGACGACGCCCCCCCAACCCCGACCCCCCCCCACCACCGUCUGCUCUUUAAGCUUCCUUUCUCUUUAGGAGGAAAAAAAAAACAAAAGAAAAAGAUUUCUUUCUUCCAGGGAAAUUCCGAUCAUUUCCCCUCUUGAGGCCUGAGCUGCUCCCUCCCCUCGGAGGUUUAUUUGGAAAUGUAGACUGUUAUACUGGAAGCCCUGUCCUACCCCCCCCCCCCCCCCCAAAUCCCCCUUUCAAAUCUGGGAGCCGUCCCCCUGGUUCCCCCCCACACACACCCACACACAAACACACAAACCCCACCGGGGCUGCAGAGGGGGGUCAUAUGGGUACAGCAAUGAGUCAUUAUUUUUGGCUCCAUGUGACGCUCAGCUCCCUUGUCUCUGUCUUCUCUCUCCCUCUGCCGCCAUGGCAACCGUCGGAUGUUUGGCAGGAAGUCCUUGGCACCAAACCGGUAUUUGGGCGGAUCCAUCAAAAUGUUAAUGCAUGAUCAGAAGUUCCAAAGCCAAAGGAUGUUUUAGCUUUUAUAGACAGUC